rnacentral:piRNA from 1 species
UAGGUAGCUGGCNGUUUUGAUGAGGUCA